UCUCUUCUUCUUCUACUGCAGCCUUGGCUGCGUGAGAAAAAGGCUUUCCCUAGCUUAUAAAUGUGACUCCAAUCUUUUUUUUUAUGCUUUGAUCGUUCUAAAAUAAACCCUAGCCGCCCUAUCUCAACAUACAAUCUAAAUACCCUAGAAUCAUACGCUCUCUUCUCCCUUCAGUUGCUUCGAAUUCACAUCAAUCUGAGAUUGGUUUCAUCAAAAUCCUUGUUCUGAUCAUCCUCGAUAGCCUUAAAGAUUAGAAUUGAAUUCGACCUGUCUACUGUUCGUGCUUCAGAGGCGAACCAGGAUUAGUUGCUUGCCGGUUAUCACGUGGAUUAGCAAGCAGGUUAUGAUCUGAGAGAGUCUGGUGAUCUCCGCAUUUACUUUUCCUCGGAGGUUCCAUUUAUUUUUGAUAAGCUGUAAAACUGUUUUAUUCUUAGACCGCAGUAGUAAAUAGACGUCUUUAUUAUUAUUAUAUAUUUUGUCGGAUUGGUUCGAAUGGUUUUAUUGCUUUGGCAUGUUAUAUCAUUUACUUUAGUUUAUGAUAAA